AGUAUCCAAUCCUAGGUCUCCUGUACGAUGACUAUGAAUAUAUACCACCAGGUAGUGACACACAAACGAUUGUGAUCGAGAAAACUGAAGACAAAUGGACUUGUCCAUGAAUGGACCCAUUCUACAAUACUACAACCCAAAGGAAAUUUUCUUUGUCUGCAUCAGUAUUUUAAUUGUUAUUUUUCUAUUGCUAAUGUGCAAUCAAAUUGUGAAUCAUGUUACUACGCCAUGGAUCUAGUGGGACGAUUUAAUUCUAGAGAUGAGUUCCCCCUCAUUCAGGAGAACUGAGUCUUUAAAAAAAACACACACACAUUGAUGUAUUUGAAAUUUAACACCGUGCAAAUGAGAGAAAAAAAAUGACCUUUGUGUUUAAACCCUGGUUGCAGACAGUGUAGAACCUAACCUGUUAUUUUUAUAUAGGGUGCUUCCUAUAUGUUGAACUUAUUCAUACAAUAGAGCCUUUACAAGUUAUUCUAUUAUGUUAAUGUGCAACUUAGCUAUAGGAUUCAGUCCUGUUUUUCAGCAAAACAGAGGCAAUUAAAUUUUAAAAAAUAGGCUAACUAGAACAUAAAAUAUACAGCCUUACUUUUCUCACAUUAAGCUUGUGACUAAUAGGAGUACAGCAGUGCUAACAUAUCUUGGAAACAGCUAAGUCAAAGGUGGAGGUUAAUUUUGUUAAUCAUGGAAAUGAGCUAAUAUCUUUUAAAUAAAUGCAUUAAUUGAAUU
rnacentral:lncRNA from 1 species